ACGGGUAAUCAUUUAACAAGUAAUAGUCAUAGGAUGGAUGUGCAUCUUCAGGCAGUCAAAUCCUCAUCGGUAGCUGUUCUUAAUGGAGAGUCGAGUGUCCACAGGGAUUUUGAUUUGAAUGCUGGGCCUCUUGUGGAUGAGGGGAGCUCCGAACCAUCCCCAUUUGGCCAAUCUACAAGGAAUAAUACACUACCCCAGUCAUCUGUUUCUGGCCUUAGAUUAAACAGCACCGAAAUGGGGAACUUCUCUUCAUGGUUUCCUCAGGGGAAUCCCUACCCAGCUGUUGCCAUUCAGUCUAUGUUACCUGAUAGAGGGGAACAGUCUUUUUCAAUGGUCACCCCUGGUGGGCCUCAACGGAUGUUGGCUCUCCCUACUGGCAGCACACCAUUUAAUCCUGACAUCUACAGGGGGCCGGUGUUAUCAUCUACUCCAGCAGUUCCCUUUCCAGCUUCGCCAUUUCAAUAUUCUGUCAUUCCUUUUGGGACCAAUUUUCAUAUACCAUCAACAACUUUUUCAGGUGGUUCAACAACA
rnacentral:misc_RNA from 1 species